rnacentral:rRNA from 1 species
UACGUAGGCAGCGAGCGUUGUUCGGGAGUUACUGGGCGUAAAGGGUGUGUAGGCUGGUUUCUAAGUUUGGUGUGAAAUCUCCCGGCUCAACCGGGAGGGUGCGCCGAAUACUGAGUGACUAGAGUGCGGGAGAGGAAAGUGGGAAUUCCUGGUGUAGCGGUGAAAUGCGUAGAUAUCAGGAGGAACACCGGUGGUGUAGACGGCUU